rnacentral:rRNA from 1 species
AGAGCGAACGCUGGCGGCAGGCUUAACACAUGCAAGUCGAGCGGGCGUAGUAUACGUCGAGCGGCAGACGGGUGAGUAACGCGUGGGAACGUACCUUUUGGUUCGGAACAACACAGGGAAACUUGUGCUAAAUACCGGAUAAGCCCUUACGGGGAAAGAUUUAUCGCCGAAAGAUCGGCCCGCGUCUGAUUAGCUAGUUGGUGAGGUAACGGCUCACCAAGGCGACGAUCAGUAGCUGGUCUGAGAGGAUGAUCAGCCACAUUGGGACUGAGACACGGCCCAAACUCCUACGGGAGGCAGCAGUGGGGAAUUUUCCGCAAUGGGCGAAAGCCUGACGGAGCGACGCCGCGUGCACGAGGAAGGUCUUCGGAUCGUAAAGUGCUGUCGAGGGGGACGAUUAUGACGGUACCCCUGGAGGAAGCCCCGGCUAACUACGUGCCAGCAGCCGC